rnacentral:rRNA from 1 species
CCUACGGGAGGCAGCAGUGGGGAAUAUUGCACAAUGGGCGAAAGCCUGAUGCAGCAACGCCGCGUGAAGGAAGAAGGGUUUCGGCUCGUUAACUUCUAUUAACACGGACGAAAGAAAGGACGGUACCUGAAUAAGAAGCCCCGGCUAACUACUUGCCAGCAGCCGCGGGAAUACGUAGGGGGCAAGCGUUAUCCGGAAUUACUGGGUGUAAAGGGUGAGUAGGUGGCAUGGUAAGCCAGAUGUGAAAGCCAUGGGCUUAACUCGAGGAUUGCAUUGGGUACUAUCAAGCUAGAGUACAGGAGCGGAAGGCGGAAUUCCUGGUGUAGCGGUGAAAUGCGUAGAUAUUAGGCAGAACACCAAUGGCGAAGGCGGCUUUCUGGACUGAAUCUGACGCUGAGGCACGAAAGCGUGGGGAGCGAACAGGAUUAGAUACCCCAGUAGUC